rnacentral:rRNA from 1 species
AUGACGGAGGCUGCCACAUUUCAGAUCCCUUGUGCCUUGAGACGGUUAUUUGCAACUAUACUAGUAUUCUGCGAGGCAACAGAAAUCCGACAGAUGUGGGACAAACAUCUGGCAGCAAUGUCUGAGGACUACCAUCGUAAUCAAUCCAAUGAGGCAAUACUUGAGCAAAUGGUCCAUAGAGAUAUCAGGGAUAUGUUGCAAUCCAUGGGAAAUGAUAUUACAAACUAUGGACUUCCGGAAUUGGAUGAGACCGAUGGUUCUUAUGACAGUGAGUAUAGAGAGGUAACAUAG